rnacentral:rRNA from 1 species
GACGAACGCUGGCGGCGUGCCUAAUACAUGCAAGUCGAACGCAGUGGGCACGGGUGAUUAACCCGUUGGUAACCUCCCAUCAGAGGGGAUAACACUUGGAAACAGGUGCUAUAUCGAUACUGAUGGAUGAACCCGCGGGGCAUUAGCUAGUUGGUGCGGGAACGGCUCACCAAGGCCGAGAUUCAUCGCCGACCAGUGAGGGUGAUCGGCCGAACUGGGACUGAGACACGGCCCAGACUCCUACGGGAGGCAGCAGUAGGGAAUCUUCGGCAAUGGACGAAAGUCUGACCGAGCAACGCCGCGUGAGUGAAGAAGGUUUUCGGAGCGUAAAACUCUGUUGUUAGAGAAGCGGUAGCUAACCAGAAAGCCACGGAUAACUACGUGCCAGCAGCCGGGGUAAUAC